GCAAGUCGUGCGCGAACGUGGCUUCGGUCACUAGUAGAGCGGCGAACGGGUGAGUAACACGUGGAUAACCUGCCUGGAUGUGGGGGACAACUUGAGGAAACUCGAGCUAAUACCGCAUACGUCUCGACUCUCAAGGAGUCGAAAGAAAGAUGGCCUCUUCUUGAAAGCUGUCGCAUUCAGAUGGAUCCGCGGCUGAUUAGCUAGUUGGUGAGGUAGAGGCUCACCAAGGCGACGAUCAGUAGCCGGCCUGAGAGGGCGAUC
rnacentral:rRNA from 1 species